rnacentral:misc_RNA from 1 species
GUAGGUGAACCUGCGGAAGGAUCAUUACAGAGUUCAUGCCCUUCGGGGUAGACCUCCCACCCUUGAAUAUAUACCUUUGUUGCUUUGGCGGGCCGCUUCGGCUACUGGCUUCGGCUGGUGAGUGCCCGCCAGAGGACCCUAAAUUCUGAAUUAUAGUGUCGUCUGAGUACUAUAUAAUAGUUAAAACUUUCAACAACGGAUCUCUUGGUUCUG